AGUGAACGCUGGCGGCGUGCCUAAUACAUGCAAGUCGAACGGAGCGGCGCACGGGUGAGUAAUGUAUAGCUAAUCUGCCCUACACUAGAGGACAACAGUUGGUAACGGCUGCUACUACUCCAUAGUGUAGCAUGAGGGUAUACUGGAUCAGCUAGUUGGUGAGGUAAUGGCUAACCAAGGCUAUGACGCAUAACUGGUCUGAGAGGAUGAUCAGUAAAACUGGAACUGAGACACGGUCCAGACACCUACGGGAGUCAGCAGGAGGGUAUAGUGGUCAAUGGGCGAAACCCUGAAGCGGCAACGGCUCGUAGAGGAUGACACUUGUCGGGGCGUAAACUCCUUUUGUUAGGGAAGCGGUACCUAACGAAUAAGCACCGGCUAACUCCGUGCCAGCAGCCGCGGUAAUAC
rnacentral:rRNA from 1 species